GGGACCAGCUGCCAGCUGUCCCUCCCCCUGGAAGGACUCGUCUCUCUCUCGAGCUCUUUGCUGAAAGAAUUGUUUAUUCAAAGCAGCAAUUUCCUCCACACCCCUUCUAGCGACUUUAAUGGAACACGAGGAAGUUUUCUGACCUGGUUAUGGGGGGAGCAGAAUCCGCGGCUCAGCCCCCUGCCGGCCUCAGGAGGAGAGGAGAAGAGACCGCGGGCAGGAGGGGCACUCCGGAGAAGCAGGCAGAAAGUACAGAUUUCGUACACGCGGAGUUUCCGCAAACCUUGCUCUGUCCUCCUCCAUCAUUUUCCUCUCCCCUCCCCUGUCUCCGGGUGCUGCCGCGCAGGUCUGGUUCUUCAGUCCAGCUCCUGCUGCGCCCGGCACGGGCUGGACACCGAGGACCUGGCCCUGCCCACCUCAUUUGCCAGAAGUGAGUCGGCUUCCAGCUUUGAGAGGUUCGGGAGGAAAGUUCACUCACCCCUUCCAUCAGCAUUGAGAGAGCAUGCUUACAACCAUGUUCACUGUCCUUGGCAAUACUGGCUGGACUUAACAGUGAACAAAACAAACAAGCAAACAAAAAAAGCCUUGUCCUCAUGGCACUUACAUUCUAACUCACCUAAUGGAUUUUUUAAAAUGAAGAUGUUAGGAAUUUAACGUUUCUCCACCCGGGAUGUCUCCUUUGUACAAAGAAAGCUGGAGAAGGAUUGUUCAACCCAAAGGAAUGAAGCACUAAUGCUAGAAUUCCAGCUAUCUGUGGGGACAGCAUUUUUUUUUCAAGAUUUUUUAUUAUUUAUGUGUGAGAGAGAGUGACAGACAUAGAGAGGGAGAGACAGAAAGAAAGGUCUUCCACCAGCUGGUUCACUUCCCAAUUGGCCACAACAGCCAGAGCUGGGCUGUUCUGAACUCAGGAGCCAGGAGCUUCUUCUGGGUCUCCCACAUGGGUGCAGGGGACCAACCACUUGGGCCAUCUUCUACUGCUUUCCCAGGCCACAGCAGAGAGAUGGAUCAGAAGAGGAGCGGCCAGGAUACAAAGCAGAACCCACAUAGGAUGUUUGUGCCACAAGCCAAGGUGGCUUAACCCACUACACCACAGCGCCAGCUGCAGGGGCAGUAUUUGAGGCUGAGAGUCUUCGUUGGUCUUUUAGAGUAGAGAUUAACACUCUACUACCCAGCGGCCCAACCUGCUCUGUAUAGGCCACAAGCUAGGAAUGAUGCUUACACUCUCUAGAAGCUGAAAGAAAUCGACGGAACAGUGUUGAGUGACACGCGAAUGAAACAGGCAGCUCCGUGUCCAUACACUUGACUGCAGCACGGCUGUGCCCCUCCCUGUACAUGUUGUCUGGGGCCGGUUCAGCAGCUGUAACGGAGGUGACCUGUGGCCCGAAGAGCACGUUUACUGUCUGGCCCGUGCAGAGCUUGCUGAUCUAGAAGCACACGGUGGAGACGGCUGUCUCUUCUGUGUGCAGGGCCCUGGCCCAGCCUUGUUCUGUCUGAGGAAGAGAGCUGUGUGGACUGUGUAGGAGGCUGAGAACCUGUCCCCCACAUCUGUUUUCUCUUCACACCGAGACAAGUCCUCCUGGGAAGCAUCCCGCCAAACACAGAAUUCCUUCCCGGCACAGUCUUGCUAUUUGCCAAGUUCAGAAGCAGACCUCCA
ensembl:lncRNA